rnacentral:hammerhead_ribozyme from 1 species
GCACUGCUGAGGACUCCCACAAUAGGACGAAACGGCCGUCCAGUGU